rnacentral:rRNA from 1 species
GACGUAGGGCGCGAGCGUUUGUCCGGAUUUAUUGGGCGUAAAGGGCUCGUAGGCGGUCUGUCACGUCGGGAGUGAAAACACGGGGCUUAACCCCGUGCCUGCUUCCGAUACGGGCAGACUAGAGGUAUGCAGGGGAGAACGGAAUUCCUGGUGUAGCGGUGAAAUGCGCAGAUAUCAGGAGGAACACCGGUGGCGAAGGCGGUUCUCUGGGCAUUACCUGACGCUGAGGAGCGAAAGUGUGGGGAGCGAACAGG